rnacentral:rRNA from 1 species
AUUGAACGCUGGCGGCAUGCCUUACACAUGCAAGUCGAACGGUAACGCGGGGCGAACCUGGCGACGAGUGGCGAACGGGUGAGUAAUAUAUCGGAACGUGCCCAGUAGUGGGGGAUAGCCCGGCGAAAGCCGGAUUAAUACCGCAUGAGACCUGAGGGUGAAAGCGGGGGAUCGCAAGACCUCGCGCUAUUGGAGCGGCCGAUAUCAGAUUAGGUAGUUGGUGGGGUAAAGGCCUACCAAGCCGACGAUCUGUAGCUGGUCUGAGAGGACGACCAGCCACACUGGGACUGAGACACGGCCCAGACUCCUACGGGAGGCAGCAGUGGGGAAUUUUGGACAAUGGGCGCAAGCCUGAUCCAGCCAUGCCGCGUGCGGGAAGAAGGCCUUCGGGUUGUAAACCGCUUUUGUCAGGGAAGAAAUCUUCUGGGUUAAUACCUCGGGAGGAUGACGGUACCUGAAGAAUAAGCACCGGCUAACUACGUG